GGCCUACCAUGGUGGUAACGGGUAACGGGGUGUUAGGGCACGACACCGGAGAGGGAGCCUGAGAAACGGCUACCACAUCCAAGGAUGGCAGCAGGCGCGCAAAUUACCCAAUCCCGACACGGGGAGGUAGUGACAAUAAAUAACAAUACGGGGUUCUUUCGGAUCUCGUAAUUGGAAUGAGUACAAUUUAAAUCUCUUAACGAGGAACAAUUGGAGGGCAAGUCUGGUGCCAGCAGCCGCGGUAAUUCCAGCUCCAAUAGCGUAUAUUAAAGUUGUUGCAGUUAAAAAGCUCGUAGUUGAAUUUCGGGGUUAGUAGGCUGGUCAUGCCUCUGGUAUGUACUGGUCUCACUGAUUCCUCCUUCCUGAUGAACCGUAAUGCCAUUAAUUUGGUGUUGCGGGGAAUUUGGACUGUUGCUUUGAAAAAAUUAGAGUGUUUAAAGCAAGCUAACGCUUGAAUACAUUAGCAUGGAAUAAUGAAAUAGGACGUUCGAUCCUAUUUUGUUGGUUUCUAGGAUUGACGUAAUGAUUAAUAGGGAUAGUUGGGGGCAUUAGUAUUCAAUUGUCAGAAGUGAAAUUCUUGGAUUUAUUGAAGACUAACUACUGCGAAAGCAUUUGCCAAGGAUGUUUUCAUUAAUCAAGAACGAAAGUUAGGGGAUCGAAGACGAUCAGAUACCGUCGUAGUCUUAACCAUAAACUAUGCCGACUAGGGAUCGGAUGAUGUUAAUUUUUUAAUGACUCAUUCGGCGCCUUACGGGAAACCAAAGUGUUUGGGUUC
rnacentral:rRNA from 1 species